rnacentral:ncRNA from 2 species
CGGAAGGGGGUCUGCGAGGAUGACUGCCAACGCGCAGAGCGUCAGAGGAACCCGGUGUGAAUCCGGGGCGGUCCCGCCACUGUGAGCCCUAACGGGUGAGUCAGGAACUCUGUCUGCGCGGCCACUUUGUC